UGCGGAGGAUCAUUAAUGGGUUACCGCCUUCGGGCACACCCCCACCCUUUGUAACCGCGGCCCGGAUUCGGCGCCUGGCGGGGACCACCCUCCGCUCGCGGGGGGCCCCGCCUGCCGGAAUUAGCCAACCCUGCCUAGAAAAUUGAAGUCUGAGAACAAGUAAAAUUAAACAAAACUUUCAACAACGGAUCUCUUGGUUCUGGCAACGAUGAAGAACGCAGCGAAAUGCGAUAAGUAAUGUGAAUUGCAGAAUUCAGUGAAUCAUCGAAUCUUUGAACGCACAUUGCGCCCCCUGGUAUUCCGGGGGGCACACCUGUUCGAGCGCCAUUUCUACCCUAGAGCCCUGCUCUGUGAUGGGCCCCGUCCUCGCGGACAGGCCCGAAACCCGUGGGCGCCGUCGUCCGGCCCUGAGCGUAGCAAGAGAAAUCCCUCGCUCGGAGUGUCUGCCGGUGGCCGCCCCGAAACCUAUUUUUACAAGGUUGGCCUCGGAUCAGGUGGGGAUACCCGCUGAACUUAAGCAUAUCAAUAAGCGGAGGAA
rnacentral:rRNA from 1 species